rnacentral:rRNA from 1 species
UACGUAGGUGGCAAGCGUUGUUCGGAAUUACUGGGCGUAAAGCGCGCGUAGGCGGAUUUGCCAGUCAGGGGUGAAAUGCCAGGGCUUAACCUUGGAACUGCCUUUGAUACUGCAAGUCUGGAGUACGGGAGAGGUGAGUGGAAUUCCGAGUGUAGAGGUGAAAUUCGUAGAUAUCGCUUGGAACGCCAAUGGUGAAAACAGCUCGCUGGGGGUGUGCUGACGCUGAGACACGAAAGCCAGGGGAGCGAACGGG